UCUAGUUUUUAAAUUUAAAAUAUGCUGUUCUAUUUUAAGAUGCCAAACACUCAAGAAAUAUCUGCCUGUCCCAGUGACUCUGUGCUGCUUCUGCUGCCCACAGUCGUUUUGACUGGACAAACUGGUUCCUGUAAAAGGGGACAUGUGGUGUGGCCCCUCUAGAGUGUCAGGGGGACCUGCUCAGCAAACUGACCCUGCAGAAGGGCCUGAACACUGGACUCUGGCAUGGAGAAAGAAGAAAGCUUCUGUCUUGUGUGGAUACCUGGAGUCUCUUCUCAGCAUGCAGGAAAGCCAAGGUAAGAAUGAAGGAACUGAAAAUUUUGUAGAGAAUAUUUUGCAAAGAAAGAAACACUUCACAGCAGAUAGGGACAAUUUGUGCAGUUGUAUUCCCAGACACUCACCAACCUGCAAAAAGAUGGGAAGAAACAGAGAAAUGGAAGCAAAAAUAGUUUGUAGGAGAAAGGAAGAAGAGAGAACAAGACAACUGAAGGCAAAAACUUUAAUAAAGGAAUAGGUCUACUGCAACAAAGGAAACAACAGCAAAAUACAGAGACAAGGACACAUCCUAACCCCAUUAAUAUCAUCAGGAAUUUGCCUUCAUCUUCAGUGGGAACAGAACUUCAAAGACACAGGAAUCACCCGUAAAACCUGAAGGGUAAAAUCUGCACCUUCCACAGUCUCUGACACAAACUGUGUUUGAGGGUGGGGGUAGUCCCCACACGAUGUACAUGUCCCCAGCAGGAGAUGCAUGACCAUGACCUUGUCCCUGGCACUGGCAGGGUGGUGUGAGAAUAGACCUCAAAGUCCUCAUGCCUUGACAGAAGAACCUCUCUGAGUCACAUGAGCUGGGCACAGAUAAACCUCCUGUCUCUCUUUGUUCAUGGCAGUACCUUCAGUGCCCAAAUCAGGAAGAAGUGAUAUUUUUUUACAUGUCAGUAGCCUAAGAUAUUCUUUCAAAGUUAGUCUCUGGCAGAAUGAAAGCUCUGUCUCUCCUCAGUCCUGAUUUGUGUUGUUAGAACCGAGGAAGAUGAAUGGUGUGGAUAUAAAGAAUAGUUUCUUCUCUAGGAAGAUUUAAGAUCUUACUUGGAGACUAAGAACAUAUUUUAGGUGGACAUAGCCUGCUAUAAUGCUGGGAAUGAGGGAAAACUGGGAUGAGGGAACUCAUUCCUGGGCAUCUCUGCAAGUCUUGUUUUGGUACUUGCAUCAUACAGCAAACAGAAAUUCAAAGAACAGAGGUACUAAUAGCAGAACUAGUUUUCCUGUCUUCCUUUGGAUGUCUCCUUGUGCUUCUUCCAUUCCUGAGAAUGCGUAAUAUGACAUGGUAUCAAGUUGCUGGAUGAAAAUGUGUAUAAUGUACAACCCAGAGAGGUUGCUACACUCUUGAUGAGUUUAUUUGCUCCUCAUAGUCCUAUUUUAGCUCUGUGAAAAAAAGUCUCUCUCUGUCCUUCAUUAUUUACUGGUCACCAAAAUAAAUCUGACAACAUAGACUCUUUCAAGUAAACCAGAUUCCAAGGAACAGUAAGAAAACGUUCCAUGGGAGUGUGUACCCUAAGGCCGCUCCAUUGAUUUCUAAUUCUAUUUCAUAUGUUUCCAAUGGUGUCUGCACCCCAGCCCAUUGCAGCCAUAUCAGGAAAGCAACGGCAAGCACCUUCAGAAAAACCCCUUUAAAAGAGCUGUGUUUAACAUGUUUGUCUGUCUGUGUUCUAUACAGCAAUUUUCCAUCGCUGAGUGUAAAGAGUUCUGUGGACAACCUUUAAUAAAGCCACAAGUAUGACUACAAAA